GACGAACGCUGGCGGCGUGCCUAAUACAUGCAAGUUGAGCGCUGAAGGUUGGUACUUGUACCGACUGGUUGAGCAGCGAACGGGUGAGUAACGCGUGGGGAAUCUGCCUUUGAGCGGGGGACAACAUUUGGAAACGAAUGCUAAUACCGCAUAAAAACUUUAAACACAAGUUUUAAGUUUGAAAGAUGCAAUUGCAUCACUCAAAGAUGAUCCCGCGUUGUAUUAGCUAGUUGGUGAGGUAAAGGCUCACCAAGGCGAUGAUACAUAGCCGACCUGAGAGGGUGAUCGGCCACAUUGGGACUGAGACACGGCCCAAACUCCUACGGGAGGCAGCAGUAGGGAAUCUUCGGCAAUGGACGAAAGUCUGACCGAGCAACGCCGCGUGAGUGAAGAAGGGUUUCGGAUCGUAAAACUCUGUUGGUAGAGAAGAACGUUGGUGAGAGUGGAAAGCUCAUCAAGUGACGGUAACUACCCAGAAAGGGACGGCUAACUACGUG
rnacentral:rRNA from 1 species